GCUACUCAGGAGCUCCUAGCUACUUGGAAGGCUGAGGUGGGAGGAUCACUUGAGCUCAGGAGUUUUGGGCUGUCAUGCACUGUGCCAGUCAGGUGUCUAUACUAAGGUCAGCAUCAAUAUGAUGACCUCCCAGGAGCGGGGGACUACCAGGUUGCCUAAGGAAGGAUGAACUGGCCUAGUAGGCCAAAACUCCCAUGCUGAUCAGUAGUGUGAUUGUGCCUGUGAAUAGCCACUGCACUCUAGCCUGGGCAACAUAGCAAGACCCUGUCUCU
rnacentral:SRP_RNA from 1 species